GAUGAACGCUGGCGGCGUGCCUAAUACAUGCAAGUCGAGCGAACAGAUGAGGAGCUUGCUCCUCUGACGUUAGCGGCGGACGGGUGAGUAACACGUGGAUAACCUACCUAUAAGACUGGGAUAACUUCGGGAAACCGGAGCUAAUACCGGAUAAUAUAUUGAACCGCAUGGUUCAAUAGUGAAAGACGGUUUUGCUGUCACUUAUAGAUGGUUCCGCGCCGCAUUAGCUAGUUGGUAAGGUAACGGCUUACCAAGGCAACGAUGCGUAGCCGACCUGAGAGGGUGAUCGGGCACACUGGAACGGAGACACGGUCCAGACUCCUACGGGAGGCAGCAGUAGGGAAUCUUCCGCAAUGGGCGAAAGCCUGACGGAGCAACGCCGCGUGAGUGAUGAAGGUCUUCGGAUCGUAAAACUCUGUUAUUAGGGAAGAACAAAUGUGUAAGUAACUAUGCACGUCUUGACGGUACCUAAUCAGAAAGCCACGGCUAACUACGUG
rnacentral:rRNA from 1 species